rnacentral:misc_RNA from 1 species
AGCGAGGCUUGCCCGCGAAGGCGAUUUCAUACUCAGCAUUGUUGUUGGCUGAUACGACGCCUUCGCGGGCAAGCCUCGCU